rnacentral:rRNA from 1 species
AGUUUGAUCAUGGCUCAGAGUGAACGCUGGCGGUAGGCCUAACACAUGCAAGUCGAACGGCAGCACAGAGGGGCUUGCUCCUUGGGUGGCAAGUGGCGGACGGGUGAGGAAUACAUCGGAAUCUACUCUGUCGUGGGGGAUAACGUAGGGAAACUUACGCUAAUACCGCAUACGACCUACGGGUGAAAGCAGGGGGAUCUUCGGACCUUGCGCGAUUGAAUGAGCCGAUGUCGGAUUAGCUAGUUGGCGGGGUAAAGGCCCACCAAGGCGACGAUCCGUAGCUGGUCUGAUNAGGGUGAUCAGCCACACUGGAACUGAGACACGGUCCAGGACUCCUACGGGGAGGCAGCAGAU